CUUCAGCGAGCCCAGCCACAGCGGACGCCCCUCGGCCCGCUCCUGCCCGUACGUGGCCAGCAGCGCUUCCGCCUC
rnacentral:antisense_RNA from 1 species